rnacentral:rRNA from 1 species
GACGUAGGGUGCGAGCGUUGUCCGGAUUUAUUGGGCGUAAAGAGCUCGUAGGCGGCUCGUCGCGUCGACCGUGAAAACCCGCGGCUUAACUGCGGGCUUGCGGUUGAUACGGGCGGGCUAGAGUUCGGUAGGGGAGACUGGAAUUCCUGGUGUAGUGGUGAAAUGCGUAGAUAUCCGGAGGAACACCAGUGGCGAAGGCGGCCACCUGGGCUGUACCUGACGCUCAAACACGAAAGCUAGGGGAGCGAACGGG